AUUGAACGCUGGCGGCAGGCCUAACACAUGCAAGUCGAACGAGUGGCGGAUGGGUGAUUAAUGUCUGGGAAACUGCCUGAUGGAGGGGGAUAACUACUGGAAACGGUAGCUAAUACCGCAUACCAUUGAAUGUGCCUAGAUGGGAUUAGCUAGUAGGUGUGGUACCGGCGCACCUAGUCGACGAUCCCUAGCUGGUCUGAGAGGAUGAGCAGCCACACUGGAACGGAGACACGGUCCAGACUCCUACGGGAGGCAGCAGUGGGGAAUAUUGCACAAUGGGCGCAAGCCUGAUGCAGCCAUGCCGCGUGUAUGAAGAAGGCCUUCGGGUUGUAAAGUACUUUAAGCGGGGAGGCGUUACCCACAGAAGAAGCACCGGCUAACUCCGUGCCAGCAGCCGCGGUAAUUC
rnacentral:rRNA from 1 species